rnacentral:lncRNA from 1 species
UAAUAACUUUAAUACCACAGCAAGUAAUCACAUAUGUGCAACACGACAAUUCAUUUCAUCAAAACACAACGUGUACAAUUACAAGUCCAUAAUCCAAACAACUAAACAGUCAAAGUCAACGCGCAUUUAAUGCGAAAGUGAAAGUCAGAAACUCGAGUUGUCACAUUAUCCCCAACUAAUUGGAAAUUUCGUCCCGAAAUUUGGUAUGCGUUUACUGAGGAAGCUAGGUGAGUCGUAUCGUUGACUGGUUUUUCCUGGGGUGUCACAUCCUCCCCCCGUUGAUCUGGAAUUUCGUCCCGAAAUUCCGAAGUAGUAGCUUCAGCCUCAGUAGUGGUUGCAUUGGUUUCAUAUAACUGGGGGUACUUUUCUGUCAUCCUGUCUUCGCGUUCCCAGGUGUACCCUGGGCCACGUUUGGAGUUCCAACGAACUCGAACAAGAGGGAUUCUCUUGUGGUUGAGGACCUUAACAUCCCGGUCCGUGAUUUCAACUGGUUCCUCGACGAACUGCAACCGCUCGUCGAUAGUGAGUUCCUUAAAAGGAACUAUAAGGGUCUCAUCUGAUAGGCAUUUCUUCAGAUUCGACACGUGAAAUACAUUGUGAACUGCACCGAGUUCAGGAGGUAGGUUUAAUCUGUAGGCUACUGGGCCUAUUCUUUCAGUGAUUUCGAACGGUCCAACAUACCGUGGAUUAAGUUUACCCCGUUUGCCAAAUCGUACUACACCCUUCCAGGGUGAAACUUUGAGUAGCACUCGAUCCCCAACUUGGAAUUCGGGCGGUUUCCUGCGUUUAUCAGCAUAGGCUUUCUGGCGAUCACGUGCUGUCGCCAUGUGUUGUCGUAUGAUUGAAAUCUUUUCUGUGGCGUCCACAACAAUAUCUGGACCCGUAAUUUGACUAUCUCCCACCUCUGCCCAACAGAGAGGUGACCGGCAUUUACGUCCGUACAAUGCCUCAAAUGGAGCGGCUUGAAUGCUGGUGUGGUAACUGUUAUUGUAUGAGAACUCCACCAAAGGGAGGUGCUUUUCCCAGCCGUUGCCGAAAUCGAUAACACACGCCCUAAGCAUGUCUUCAAGGGUUUGAAUCGUUCGCUCAGACUGCCCAUCCGUCUGAGGGUGAUAGGUUGUGCUCAUGUCUAGCCGUGAGCCAAAAGAUUUAUGCAUCGCUUGCCAUAGUUCCGACGUGAAUCGUACGUCGCGAUCCGAAAUAAUGGAUGUGGGCACUCCGUGCCUCGAACAAUUUCUUUAAGGGAGUGUGCAGACUUGGUGAGCCGAUCAACUAUGACCCAUAGUGUCAUUCCCACUCUGGGAUCUAGGUAGGCCAGUGACAAAAUCCAUGGAAAUUUGCUCCCGUUUCCAUUGUGGUAUCUUGGGCUGCUGAAGUAGACCUGAUGGUUUCUGGUACUCGGUUUUAACCCUUGCACAAGUUAAACACUUGCCGUCGUGAGUUGCGAUAAGAGCUUUCAUGUUUUGGCCACCAAUAAGUUGUACUGAUGUCGUGGUGCAUUUUAUCUGAUCCUGGAUGUACCGAAUAGCGAGACUUGUAAGCUUCAUCCAUUACAAGUUCGCGUAAACCGCCAUGAAGUGGGACCCAAAUACGGCCCGUUACAUGGUAGGCGCUGUCUUCUUUUUGUUCCGUGCAUUGCCUUGAGCCGCGUAGGGCUUCAGCUUUGACGUUUUCGGGUUUCAAUGCUUCUACCCGAGCAUUACGUAUCUGUGCUGGCAGGCUAGGCUGGAUCGUAAGCAGUAGCGCUCGCACGCGCUGAGGUAGAGUGUCCUUCCGACUGAGGGCGUCUGCCCCAACAUUGACCUUGUCUGGAUGGUACCUGAUGGCGCAUUCGUAGUCGCUAAGUAAUUCAACCCAUCUUCGUUGACGCAUGUUCAAAUCCUUCUGCUUAAGGAUAUGCUCGAGACUCCUGUGAUCGGUGUAAAUCGUGCACUUGGUACCGUACAGGUAGUGUCGCCAUAUCUUAAACGCGAAAACAACAGCUCCCAGCUCUAAAUCGUGCGUCGUAUAGUUCCGUUCAUGAACCUUGAGUUGCCGAGAAGCGUAGGCUAUCACUUUAUCACGUUGCAUCAACACACAUCCAAGACCCUGGAUGGAUGCAUCACAGUAUACCACGAAGUCAUCUGUGCCCUCUGGCAAUGAGAGAAUAGGUGCGCUGCAGAGCCUAUCCUUUAAGUACUGAAAAGCGGUUUCCUGAGAAUCUCCCCAACGGUAGGUGACACCUUCCUGUGUCAGCAUUGUAAGCGGCUGCGCGAUCUUGAAGAAGUCUUUGAUAAAUCACCUGUAGUAACCCGCCAAACCCAAGAAUUGGCGUAUCUCUGUUGGUGUACGCGGUGCUGGUCUGUUCCUGAUCGAAUCUAUCUUGGAUGGAUCGACAUGGAUCGCAUCCCUGUUCACUACAUGGCCUAAGGAGUGGACUUCACGUAUCCAGAAGUCGCAUUUAGAAAACUUGGCGUACGUUUGCUCCUUCCGAAAAGUUCCAAGAUAAGACGUAAGUGUUGCUCAUGUUCUUCCUGACUCUUGGAGUAGAUCAGAAUGUCGUUGAUGGAGACAAGGACAAUUUGUCCAGGUAGGGUUUGCACACCCUGUUCAUAAGGUCCAUAAAUACGGCAGGUGCGCUCAAUAAUAUCAAACCAUUCAUCAUAUCAAACAUGAAGUAUAGCAGUUAAAAUAAUUCAUAAAACC